UGACAUGCAAGUCCACCCCUUUGAUUACAUGCACUAAUAGAUCCUUAUAGAUUAACCUAUCACAUUUCAAAAGUGUCACACAUAAGUCCUAUUAACUAAAUUCACAUGCAAUUAGCUAAAUCAAAGCUUAAAACUUUCACACAUUCAUAUUCACAUAUUUUAGACAAUAAUUAUCAUAUUCAAAUAAUUUGGUGACUCGGUUUAGCGGUCCCGAAACCGCUUUCCGACUAGGGUCACUUUAGGGCUGUCACAUGUGUAGACAAUAUAAGGGUAUUUGAAAAGCC
rnacentral:lncRNA from 1 species